rnacentral:lncRNA from 1 species
CCGCUGCCUACGAAGCGGAUCUGACCAAGUUAGUCUGGGGGGGGGGGGGGCGCUCAAGAGCAAAGGCGGCCCGGGCGCAGAGGACCCCUGCGCUGGGCGGAAGUGGCUAGAUCGCCUGCCCCUGCCCAGCCGCGUUAUCGCUGGGGAGGCAGAUCCUAACUCUGUCGGCUAACCACCUUCCUGGAGCUGAACUAGAAGCUGAGAAGCGUGCUAUGGGGCGGAGCCCCCCUGUGCGCAUGCGGGACGGGGUUUGCGUUUUCCCCACCUGCGAGACCCUGCUAUGGGACAGACGGGCACCGAACCCCGUUUCCGUGUCUCCACGUGCUCUCUGGACCAGCCGUGCUUCGCUGCCUGCCCCUUCCAGCUACUCUGUCUUUGCUCUCUGGCCUCCAGUGGAGUGGAGUUGAGUCGGUGGAGGAGGAAGAUCAGAAGGUAGAGGGAGAAAAAGACCGGGUUAUUUAUUGAUUCCAACAGCAGAAUGCUUUGAACCUGCAGUUCCCUCCCCCGGGGCUGUUUAUACCAGACGUUAACGGGGCUUACUGCUUUACGUCUUUCCCCCUAUUAUCUUUUAGGAGACCUUUUCCAGCAUAUUUAAAAAAAAAAAAAAAAAAGGCCGGCCUGCCCCCUCCCCCCCUGUUCCUACUCUAUCCUUCUUCACAUUCAUCACCAACUGAUGUUGUAUUUGUUUAGCGGUCCCCUCCCCUCCCCUCCCCUCCCCUCCCCUUCCCUGUGGGGAGUAGAGCUUGGAAUAGGAGCUCCCCGAGGGUUGGGAUUUCAUUAUUCGUAGAACGUAGCACGUAGAACAAUACCCGGUGUGGGAUUGUUGCGCUGUGUCGUUCGAAGGGGACGCUGAGUGAAAGGCCCGUGUGUCCCUGUGUGACCCAAUAUGGCGGCUCCAUCAGAUAUGGAUGGGCCUGUCCCUAGCAGGGCAGCUCUGGCUUCAUCUGUCAACUUGAUUAUGCAAAGCCUCUGUUUUCAACUGGCAUCUGAGGUGGAUUUCAAAGCCGUGACUCAUGUGUGCUUCAGGCCGAGGACCUGGAGAGCAGCUCUGUCCGACGAGCUCCCUGCACAGGCCUGGCUCUUUGCGAGAAGGUCCUCCAAGGCCCCGGUGGCUCAAUGAUUCACAAAACUCUUCGACCCUCACCCGGAGUGGCUUCUCUGGGCUGGCAGGACUGCUGGCUCCCACGCCAGCCCGUGGGUCACGUGAGCACGUCCGCCGUCCCCGGCAUUGUUCCUGCCCAGAGUAAAUGAUGGCUGUUUAAUCAAAAGCAGGCCGAGCCUCCCUGGCCCGACCAGUACCUUGUCAGCACCAGCCUUCCCCCCACCUCUGCCGCUGAGCUUUGGUGGUACGGGUCCCAGGGACCCGGGAGGCUUCGUCUACACCAUCCAGAAGCCACUCCUUCGGAGGGCGUCUUCCGGAGUUUCAACCCCGGGCACGAGCCAGCGGCUCCGAGGCAGGAAUGAGCAGGUGAGUGACAGAGGAUCCCCUAGGAGUUUCCAUGUCUCGGGGGGGCUAUGGGUCACCUCUGGCCCUUACUGCCUGUGUGGGAUGAUUCCUAAGUCAGGUCGGAUGCCAGGCGUGAGACGCAUUUGCUUCCAUGCUCUCUGGGGUGCCCCUAAGGGCCAGGGGGAGUGAAGACCCCUACCUCUGUUGGAAAACCUUACAAUUAAGUGCUAAGCCCGGUUGGCCUAAUGCCAGCCGGUCCUGUUGUCCUGGUAUCGGGGCAAGGCUCGUAAGUUUAGCCAGGACGGCGUGAGCCGGGUGCCAGCGUUAGUCGCUCGAGCCAGAAAUUCCAGCAACCCCUCACCCGCCCCGGUGGGGGAGCUGUGGGGUCUCUGGGGGUCUGCCACAUCACGUUCUGGGUUUCCUC